UUGUUUUUUUUUUAAUGUAUAUUUUCUCCAAAUUAUGAAAACUCAUUUUGCUUUGCACAUUUUGAACUACAGGUGAAACUUCAUGGAUCGUUUGAUUUUAUUUUUGUGGAUGCUGAUAAAGACAACUAUCUUAACUACCACAAAAGGUUAAUUGACCUUAUCAAAAUUGGAGGUGUCAUUGGCUACGACAACACCCUUUGGAACGGGUCUUUAGUGGCCCCACCAGAUGCACCACUCAGGAAGUAUGUUAGGUAUUACAGAGAUUUCGUGUUGGAGCUUAACAAGGCAUUGGCCGUUGAUCCGAGGGUGGAGAUUUGCCAACUUCCGGUCGGUGAUGGAAUCACUUUGUGCCGUCGUAUAAGUUAAUCACAAAUCACGGAUAAACUUUCGUACACAUACAACUGUUCUUUCUUUCUUUUUUGAGAUUCGUACGUGUAUCCAAGUCUUGUAAGAGAACGAGGGGUUUAAUCUUGUGCUUUUCUGAGACAGCUUAUAGCAAUAAUUUUUGUCAAAAUUGACUCUUUUGGAGAGAGCAAUUGUGUUUCGCAAAAACGAAAAAGAGCAAUGAGUUUUUUGUUUGUGACACAUACAUAGACAACCAUACACAACACAAAGUCACAGAGGUUAUGUAAACAAAGUGACAAUAUUAUGUAAUAACAUUGUAUUUUGAAAGCCCUUAUAACUAUAGCUGGACAUUAUUUAAAAAGGAUUACAAACAAUCAUAAAUAAACAUGCAUAUUGACUGGGAAAACGAAUAUUUAAAAGACAGUAAUUCUUAUAUCUUUUCCUAGCCUACAAUAUACAUGAAAGCGAUUAUGUAAAAAAAAAAAAAAACUUUUAUAAAGGAAAAUCUAAAUAAGAAUAAACAUAAAAGUGGAUAUGUAAAAAUACUAAUUCUCCAAAAAAAAAUGUGAUUGUGAAUUCAUAAAAAGAUAGGUGUAAAAAGAUGUAAAAGAAAUUGAAAGUAAAAGCUAUUUAUCAAAACAAAGAGUUUUCAAAAAACAUAUAGAAAAUAAGUUGAGAAAUAUUUGUAAAGAAAGUUUAGACCGGUUCAUAAAAAAAAUAAUAACAUGGCCAAAAUUGAAAUAUCUGAAAAGUGGGUAGGACUUCUAUAGGUCCGAAUUCAAAUAAAUAAAUAAAUAAAAAUUAAAAAAUUAAAAAAAAUUAAGGAUUAUUUUUAUAAAUUUCUCUCAUAGACACCACUUCUUAUUAAGGAAACUAUUACUCAUUGACCGAGUGUUGCUGUGUGUUGAUUGUAUUUUCCUUUCACCUUUAGCUAUAUUUAGAUAGUUAUUAUGGUUCUUAUUAUUUAUCAUAGAAUUAACCUUAGAUAUGAGUCUCUUAGCAUUGUAUGUAUCUUGUAAAUGGCUAUUUAUAGCCUUUUUAUUCCGUCUAAUAUUACAUGGCAUUUUUCCAUUCAUAAAUCAAAAUCUCAUAUGGCAUUAGAGCAACCAAUCUCAAAUGAGAAUUGAUCAUCUGCACCUCCUUCUUUCUUUUCCGAUCAAACACCCCCAUGACACCAAUCGCAAUUGUUCAACUUACUGCCUCCACCCACUUUAACGUCACCCUUACUAGCGACAAUUUUCCAGUAUGGCAUAAGCACGUCCACUUAACCUUAAUUGGCCUUGAUCUCGUUCACUUCAUCAUCGAAACCAAUAACGCUCCACCAUAGUUCAUAGACGUCGAAGCCAAUAAACCGAAUCCAGAUUACCAUCAAUGGUUUCCACAGGAUCAAAUCAUUCUAGCUAGCAGGAUUUCUAGGCAGCUGCUCACCCACCAUCCAACCAAUGAUUGCAUCAUCCAACACUGCUAGGUAAGCGUGGGAACGAUUGGUAACCAAUUAUGCGAACUCAUCUCGGUUUCAAGUCAUUUCACUAAAAUCCAAACUAGCAUCUAACCCCAAAGGCACUCAUACUGUCACUGAAUACCUACAUGACAUGAAGUCAAUCGUCGAUGAACUAGCAUUUGUUCAAACCCGGUGACAGACGAGGAUCUCAUGGUUCACUUUCUCUGUCAAUUAGGAGAUGACUUCAAAAAUGUUACACAAUCACUUCGACUACUUGAUUUAAAGCUCACCUUCCCAAAAUUACUUGAGAAGCUUGUUGAUUUUGAAAGAGAACUUCAACAACUAACCACUGUUCCGCCACCCCUCAUGGCUACAACCAACUUCACCCAAAAACACUCAAGGACCAAUGCAAGAUCUGCAACAUACAGAAGCAACAUGCAAAACAACUUCAACAACAGACCAUUACACAAUUAAUGGUCUAAUAAAUCUGAAUUCAAUAACGGUAACCGUGAUACCGAUACCAAUAUUUAUUGUGAAUAUUACAACUUUGCAGGGCAUAUGAAGCAACAAAGUGUCGGAAACUUGUCGGCUUUCUCCGUGAAAAUCAUGUUACCAAAGGAAACUUUAUGACCCAAGGCAAGGCUUCACCAAUUUCUAAUGUCACAACAUCCUCCUAUAUGUUUUAUAUAGGAGCUUCUAAUCAUGUCGAUCCAGAUCGUACACCGUUUCACUCCAUUUCCGAAUAUGGCGGACCGGAUGAAAUUUUGGUAACACCCUCUCUAUAACCCAUAUUGGUCAAACACAACUUUAUACGUCCAAUGGAUCUCUUGUCUUAAAAGAUGUUUUGUGUGUUCCUCAAUUCAAAAAUAAACUUAUUUAUGUUGCAAAUUUGUGCAAAACUAACCAAGUUUAUGUGAAAUUCUUUCCCACUCAUUUUUUUGUCCAGGAUCUUCAAAAUUAAUUGUCAUCGUACAAUGAAUGAGAUGGCAAACGGGCAACAAGCUGUACCGCUAAGCCUUUUUGAAAGGUAAAGCUAAUUCUUUUAAAGACUACAUCCGAAGAUCUAGGGGAUAUAACAUUACUAUGCAUGAUUCGUUGUACUCUUUUAAGAAGCUCUACUGCAUCCAGUGCGAGGAAACCAAACGUAUCAAAUGCAAAUGGUAUGAACACGUGUUGAUUUUCCAGGCACGAUCUCUCAUGUUUGGUGACUUUGCCUGUGGCUGCUUUUAAAGCAGCAUGUCCCGCUGUGAAACCCCUAGCCCUCAAGCCCACGAGAGGGGAUACCCCUGUAAGAUCCACACAUGCGUGUUUCCCUCCGAACCAUCCAAAAAUCAAAAUAUCAGUCGGUCUGAGGGUAGACCUUCCUUCUGUCGGUUCAGUCGAGAAAUUAACAGGUGCCUCUUUCUUAGCGGAAACCCCGGCACGCUUAAAUAUGUCAAACAAAAAAUCCCUAACCAUAUCGUGCCUGUAUUUGAACCCCGGGAGUUCUUUACAGUGAACUGCAUGCUCUCCAAAAGAGUCCAAACAUGUCUUGCGACUCAACCUCAACUAAAUGAAUUACCUUGAUGUUUACUAUGCAAACCUUCCAACUCAACCUCAACUAAAUUAUUACAUUACCUCUUGAUUGGCAUCACAAACUUGGCUAUCCUUCUAUUCGAAUUCUAAAAAAAUAGCCAAAUAUUUAAAUCUACAUUUUAAUAUACUCAACUUUCAUUGUAAUUUGUGUUCCAUCAAUAAAAGUUACAAAUAUUAUUUUGGCAUGAACUCGUUUACUACUACCAAACCUUUACGAUCAAUAUAUUAUGAUGUUUGGGGACCAGUAGAAAAAUCAAUUGAUGGUUUCACUUACUAUGUUAUUUGUGUAUACUUUCACACAAAAUACGUUUGGCUAUAUCCAAUGAAAAAUAACUAUGAUAUCUCCACUUUAUUUCCACAUUUCAAAUUGUUGAUCAAAAAUAUUUUCAAACAACUCUAAUCUCUCUCUUCAUCGACAAUGGUGGAGAACAUAUCAGACUUACCACAUAUCAAUCUUAAUGUAGUUCAUAUUUUAUCUCCCACUACAUACCCUGAAACAAAACGGUGUUGCAGAACGGCGUCAGCCACACAUUUUCAAAAUUGGUUUAUCACUUCUUCACUAUGCUCACCUUCCUCUCUCAUUUUGGACACAUGGCUUUCAACCCAUCGUUUAUCUCAUAACCCAUCUACCUACUCCAAUCCUUAUUUUCAACUCUCCGUACUCCAUUAUCUACAAACAAGAACCAACUAACACCAAAACCAAACCCUUUGGAUGCUUAUGUUAUCUGUGGCUUCGCCCAUAUGCAAAAUCCAAACUCCACCCCUCACUUAGAAAAAUGUGUAUUUUUAGGCUACUCAUCAUCCAAAUUGAUCUACAAAUUCUAUGAUAACACCAACCAAUGACUAUACCUCUCCUAACACAUGGAGUUCAUUGAAGCUACAUUUUCAUUAAAAGCUCAAAAUUCUCCUUCGAUCUUUCCUACUUUGGAUGAACUUUUUGGUAUCCAUUCAUCCCAAUACACUCACCCUUCCCCAUCAUCACCUUAUUUUACUCACUCGACCCAAUCUAUAUACAUCCCACCAUUAGGCUCACUUGACCCACCUAUACCAACCCAACCCUAUCUCCUAUUUCACCAAUACCAUCUACCACAUCCUUCCCAAAUAAUACCAUUGAAUCUCAAACUCCUACAUAUUCUCAAAAUGUCACUAGAUAUCACAUCAUUUCCUUAAACAUCUCACCAUCGUUAUAAACCUCUAAUUAUUUACCCUCACCUUCCAUGCUACCCCCACACACCUGCAAACCAAAUUCCAAGUGUUAUAACUGUAAAUUUGUUAAUCACACUACCAUCCAUCCUAUAUCUUCAACACUUGAACCAACAACUCACAAUCAAUCCUUAACAGAUCUUGAGUGAUGUAAGUCGAUGGAUAAUGAGUUUAAUGAUAUUAUCCAAAACACCACAUAGGAUCUUGUCCCUCCUUCGCAACACAAACCGAUCGACUGUAAGUGGGUAUUUCGCAUCAAAGGGCGUCCCAAUGGGUUUGUAGAUAAAUAAAAGGCUUGUCUGGUUGCCAAGGGGUUCCUUUAAUAAUAUGGCAAGGAUUAAUUUGAAAUGUUCAUCUAGGUCACUAAACUCAUAACUAUUUGUACGAUUCUCGUUGUUGCUCUAUCUUAAAACUCGACAAUCCGAUAACUUGAUGUUAAAAAUGCCAUCUUGCAUGGCAUUCUGCAUGAAGAUUUUUAUAUGUCCCAACCACCCGACUAUGUCAAUAAGGAUUUUCCAAAUCACUUUUGUCAUCUUCGGAAAUCUCUUUAAAGGAUCAAGCAAGCACAGCGAGCAUGGUACAUGGAACUUGCCACAUUCCUUCUUGAACUUGAUUUUUGCAAAUCCUCGACCGAUCUAUCUUUCUUCAUCUACAAAUGGGGUGGCAUUAUCUUGCAUUUCUUGGUAUAUGUUGAUGAUAUUGUCUUCAGCAGAAACAAUAAUCUAUUUAUUCAACAUAUCCUUCAUGCGUUAUUCAAAAAAAUUUCCAUUAAAAAUCUUGGCAUGCUACACCACUUUCUUGGUAUAGAAGUUAUUAACACAACUACUGGUUUAUUUCUAUAUCAACAUGCUCAUGUCCAAAAUUUACUCACCAAGUUUAAAACGGAUGGAGCUAAACCUGUUUCCACACCACUUAGCCCUACUGAGCCUCUCACUUUCAUUGUUGAUUAGCUUACUAUUGACCCUACCCUGUAUCAUUAACUGGUGGGCUCCCUCAAAUAUCUUUCUUUCAUUUGACUAGAUAUUUCCUAUACGGUCAACAAACUCUCUUAAUACAUGCAUGCACCAACUUAACUCCAUUGGUAAGCCUUAAAGCGGUUUCUUCGAUACUUGAAAGGCACCAAUAUUCAUCAGAGUUUGGUUCUAAACUGCGGCUCCCCCAUCGACCUUAUAGCGUUUACCGAUUCUAAUUUAGGUGGAGUUACCGACAGGGGGCAUUCCACAACUGAAUAUAUUAUCUGCAUCGGCUCCAACAUCAUCUCAUGUUGUUCAUCACAUUAAAAACCAAUUUCUCGUUCUUCAACUGAGGCGGAGUACAAGGAAUUAGCAAAUGGUGCAACUAAACUAUCUUGGGUUCAAAAUCUACUAUUAGAAAUUGGCAUAUCGGUAAUUAAACCUCCUAUAUUACUUUGUGACAAUGUUGGUGCUACUUACCUGUGUGCCACUCAGUCUAUCACUCACAUAUAAAGCAGGUGGCACUCGACUAUCACUUUUUUCGAGAAAAGGUAACUAAUGCUUCAUUACGGGUUCUACACGUUCAUUCUGUUGAUCAACUUUUUGAUGUAGUCACUAAACCUCUAGGUCGGGGUCCCUUUCACCUCUUUCGGUAGAAGAUUGGAGUCUCUAACAGAUCCUACAUGUUACCAGGGCAUAUUAAGGAAACUAUUACUCAUUGACUUUGUAUUGAUUGUAUUUCCACUUCACCUUUAGCUAUAUUUAGAUAGUUAUUAUGGUUGUGAUUAUUUAUCGUAGAAUUAGCCUUAUAUAUAUCUUCUUCAAUUGUAUAUAUGUUGUAAAUGGUUAUUUAUAGCCUUUGUAAUUUGCCUAAUAUUACAGAGCAUUUUUCCGUUCACAAAUCUAGAUUGCAUACUUCUAUCUAUUUGAAAACUAUGAACACUAAAAAUAUGUAGAUGAUGUAUUCUGGAACCGUAACAACUAUUUGCUAAAUGUUAAUAUAUUGAAUUCUAUGUAUAAUUACGUUUAUGUAGAUUAACAAACAUUAAUGUUAUUCUUCAGGAGUUUAAUAUCCUCAUAAUUCAUUACCCUCUAUUUAGUUAAAUGCAAGAUAUUUCAAGAUGAUACACAACUCUUCCAAAAGACAAAUAAUGUGUGUCCUUCAUUUUUAGGUUGAGAAUUGUUCAAUAGAGAUUGAAACAUAUGUCCCUUUUUAUUGAAGUUGCUUAUGUUUUCAAAAUGACACUUAUUUGGGGUGAGCAUCGGAAACCGGGUACCCACAUUUUGAACUAGAACCACCUUAAAGUUGUUGGUUCUGGAACCUAUUAAAGCUAUAAGUGAAGGAUCUAUAUAUUCAAUAAUCAUUUUAGAAUGAUGUUAUCAAUAACAUAUGAUCAUAUAGGGCCCCACCAAUAACAAGUAGACAAAAACUGAAUAUUUAUAUGAAUUUCAUUCUUGAUAAAUAUUUAUAACUCUUGCAAUUAAUUGGAAUUUAUGAAAAUAAUAAUUUACAAUAUUAUUAUCAAAAUAAGAUCAUAAGGUAUGAUUUAUAAAGUCAUAUACAUCCUUUUGGUCUUAAAUGGUUUUUGGUAUAAAAGAUAUAUACAACAUAUGGUUAUAAAAAGAACGUAAAACCUUUAUAUUUCUCUCGUCUUUUUUUUAACCAAAAUUGGGGGUAGAGUUAGGAGGGACAAUAAUUUUCUUACUUGUUUUGACUUCCCAUAUUUUAAACUUUUUUUACGCUUUCAAAACCGUGUAUUCUUUGUUUGCGGAAAAUGUCUCAUUUUAUUAAAAUAUCUUGCGUACAGAUGUUGUUUCAAAAUAAAAAAUAAGGUUGUCAUUAUCAAUACACAACAUAAGUUACAACGUAAAGACGUAGCGGUUAUAAAUACUAUUGCAGGUUGUCUUUUUAUUUACUCGACCUCCUAAUCAAAUUCCAGCAACCUUAACACCGUUUCUUGUGAUACAUAUAAUUUGAGUGGUUCGGGUUUGGAAACCUGGUGAGACACAUAGGGUUUUCAAUCCUAUAAUAUUCUAAUGAUAUUAAAUCGUAUAAUAAUCCUACAAAACCAACUCUUAACAAACAAUAUAUCUUACUUCAUAAAUAUCUUUAAGAUAUUAAUCCCUUUUCUCCUUAGUUACCCUAGCCUGUCAAUUCUCACACACUAAUCUAUAACAAUGAUCCCUUGAGAUCCAACCUGAUGGAUCGCUGUAAGUAACGAAUAGACUAUAUUGCCUCGAUGAUUCCUUGGUAAAUGUAAGUCAAUAAACUCAACCGCUAAGGGGGUAUAUUACACGAAUGAGCAAAUAAUCAUUUUCCCUGGAUAAGUGUAACAUCCCAAAAAUCAAGGUCAAUAUGUCACAAACAUAGUUUCCCAAGUGUCAAUAGUCACAAAUCAAAGUAUCUCAGAAAAACUGAAAGAUGUGCACGAUCAAGCUUUCGCCAUGCCCCGAUCAUCUGAAGUACUUGAAAACAUGAAACCAAACUGUAAGCAUGAAACUUUAUGAGUUCCCCUAAAGUACCACCACACAAACAUAUAACAUAUACAAUCAUGAAUGUUGGGUCCAAUCAAUCAUCGGACUAGAAUACCCUCAGCUCUACAACCUCCCAGUUGGAUAACCCUUGGCCUACAACCUUCCGGUUGGAUUGCCCUGGCCCACAAUCUCCUGGUUGCAUUGCCAUACAUACUACGUAUUGGGUCCACAAACUCCCAGUUGGAUUACCUCGGGUUUGUUGGCUGACAGCACAAAGCAGUAGAGUCCCAACCCAACCACACAAUGUCAACAUAUGCAUCAGAUAAACAUAUAACAAGUCACCAGACAAACAAGCAGAUCUAUAGGUCACUACCGCAUAGCAGCAUCCUAUAUACUAGGAUACGAAUCUAACAGAUCACUAUAGUAUAACAACAUCAUAUAUACCAGGAUACAUAACCUAGUGGGCCGGUAUUAGUGCCUUCGACCCAUAAGUACAGAGAGGAAAACUCACCUCUCAGUUUGAAAAGAUAGUCGAACGCAGCCUAACUCCAUAUAACAACUCUACUGGUCACAUGUACAACAAAUAGUGACCUAGUCUCAAACUAUUAUCCAAAAUUACCCAAAAUACCCUUAGGUCAAACUUGGUCAAAACCCUGCUCAAAGGUCAAAGUCAACAAGUCAAGAAGUCAAACUUCAGGUUAUGUACGCCCAGCGUACUCAGCUCCUACAGAUGACGUACUCACCAUCCAAAAAUGUGACUCCAUAUGGGUACAUGCGACGUACUCGAUCAGAUUGCAUUUUUCCAUUCAAUUCUUAUUCUUUUAAGUCAUUUCGUCCAACACUCAAAUCUAGACCCAUAACAUUAUUCUAAGUCAUAAAGUUUCCACCUUUAUGACUUUCCAUGGCUAGACAAGGUCCAAAAGCUAAAUUCCUAACUUAAUGAUCCUUUAAGACACUAUGACUCUUACAUGGAAGGGAUAUAAGGAACAAGAUCACAUUUUUAUGGCUCUUAAUAGCUCCAUAAUGGAUAAAUUUUCCAACUUUAUCCACUAGGAUAAUCCAAACAACCAAGAUCUAGUCUUUAAGUCUCAAAGGGACCAAAAAUGCAUCUUUCAUAACUUAAUCCAUUAAGUCCAAGUCUCCAACCUUCAGAUAUGAAUCAACAUGAUGAAUAGAUGGAUGAAGUUUCCAACUUUAUCCAUAAUAAUGUAUCAAGAUUUCAAGAUCUAAACUUUAUUACCCUAAAAUAACCUAAAUGACCAAGAUAAUUUGCAUGGUUGAAUGGGAAGCCAAAAGAUCAAAGUUUUCCUAGUCUAAGAGGUCCAAGAAAACAUUCUAAACCGAUCUAAAAGGUAUUUGAGAGUUAAGAUCUCUAAUUGUCAAGCUUCCAAGAUCAAUAUCGCAUGAAAACAUUGCUCCAAAAAGCACCAAAAACUCUAAAAAUGGAUGAGGGAAGAGAGGGGAGGCUCAAAACUUGAAAAUAGAGGUUAGGGUUUCUCCCAAGAGGUUCUAGAUAUGAUAGAUGCUAAGAAAAUAACCUAAAACAUGAAUCCUUACCUUUAAAUACCUUGAAAACCCUAAAAAUUUUGUGGGUUUUGGGCUGCAUAGUUCUCAUGUCGUGAGAAUAUAUUCUCACCUUAUGACCACUCUCACAUCGUGAGAAUCACUUCUCACCUCGUGAGAAUGGGUUUUCACCCAAUUUCUCUCCAACUUCAAACAGACACAACUUUUUCGUUUCAACUCCAUUUUCGAUGAUCUUUAUAUCCACGGAAAGGUAUUGACGAACCCCAUACUUCUAUCUAGCUAUUGAUGGCUUAACAGAUGUCGAAAUAAAAAACAUAACUCAUGAAAGAAGUCUAAAACAUCACUUUUCCCAUUUUACCCAUUUGACUCCAAGACACAAACCAAGGCUUUAAUCACUUAUCUAACAUUGUCAUCAUCCAAUAAGAUCUAAUACCCAUUCCAUUGAAGCCUAAGACCUUUACUUAAUCCAUUUAUUGUCCACAAUCCAAAAAUAAGAAACUUCUCAAAACUGGCUGUGACAACUCUCCCCACUUAAACUGAAUUUUGUCCUCGAAAUCCAUCCUGGAUAGAAUCUCUGAAGCUAAUGUCUACAAAUUGCACAAGCUCUAUUUAACCCCUUCGAAUUCAAGGAAUCUAUCCAGAGAAGUUGAGAGAUCACUCAGAAACCCACUGUUGCUAACAAAAAAAUCCAAUAACUUGAAAAUACUCAACCACAACUGAAAUUGUAAGACCUAACUUCCAGAGAGAACGAAUCAUACCGAGAACUCUUAAAACUACAACCACAAAUCAACUUCAUCAAUAUACUUCCAAGAACUGGGAACCCAUAGUAUAAACUACAGAAUCAUACCCUAGGAUUGAUGAUCAUCCAUAUAUUGUAACUACCCCUAGUCCUUGACUAGGAACACCACCAAAUCAUGCAGAAAGAAUACUUAAAAGACACCGAUCGUGAAUUUCCACAAUCCUAAAUCUGAAAAUUGUGCCCAAAAACCUAAAAUACUCACUUGACUCCUAACAAGUAACGAUUAACCCACUACUCCCACAAGCAUAAUGAUGGUCUAUAAUUUCACGUUGCAUCCAAAUUCCUUAUCAGCUCAUAUGUACCUCCACCUGACAAAAUCACUCGAGACAUUCACAAUGGACUUCAUGACUUGAGAUUCCAUAACUUAUACCCAACAUUGGUAACCAACUCCUAAUAAAUGGCCCACAAGACAACAAGGCUCAUAAUGCAGUCACUCUGCAAUAGAAUUUUGAUGCACAACUAUUACUCCCAACAACCUUUAACUAUCAUACUCUUCUAUUACGUACAAUUCCUUUCACAAUACAGGCUGCUACCAGUGUGAAAUUAGACGAAAACAUGGUCGCACACGACCAUAAUGAGAUAGGUGGUUGUACUCUUAUUCCUUUUCAAAGGCUACAAACCAAUUAAGAACCAUGUCAAUAACUCGAGCCAAGUACUCUCAUGCUAUUAUACUCAUCCUAUAUACAUCCCUAAGGGAAUGCAUAACUAGCCCUGGAUCUAAUGCAUUCCUUUUUCCCCACAACCUUACCCAGAGGGUGUGGCACUUGUAGAUCUAUCCAGAAUGUCGAACUUCAACCACUAAUAGAAACAUCCUCAUAAGUGGAUGAAACAAGAUCCCACACUUUGAAAAAUAAACGAUGCUGCCAAUAUGUAACUAACGCGAUAAAGCUUCCAAAGUUAUCCAGAAAUGUUGUUAAAACCUCGGGUUUGUUACGAACAAUACUUCCAUAAUCAACAUUUCAGGGUACCCAUACCUAAAAAUUAAAAGGUUUAAUGUAUAGAUUUUGACAACGGUUGACACAUCCAUUGACUUCCAUUGAUAAAACACGAAACUUCCGAUUAAACUCAGCUAUUGAUGAUGAACAAAUGACCAACAAUCGAUAGUUCGAAGCGUAAGUGAUCACGUGACCCCUCUGCAUAAGAACUGCCCCCAAACCCAUCAUCGGUGCCUCACACAAUCUCUGUCUCAGGGUCUCAAAAGUUGUCUGUUGCUCAGGCCCCCAACGAAAAGUGACGGUCUACUUCAUCAAUCGGGUAAAAGGAACUGCUAUCUUGGAGAAAUUCUGGAUAAACCUCCGAUAGUAACCUGCUAAACCAAGGUAAAUCUGAAUCUCAGAUGGAGACCUCGGAACCUCAUCAUGGCCUCGAACUUGGCCAAAUCAACCAGAAUAUCGUUCUGGUUAAGAAGGUGCCCCAGAAAUUGCACCUCGUGUAACCAAAACUCACACUUGGAGAACUUCUCAAAAAGCCUCUCCCUCCUCAAAGUCUCUAGAGAUGCAUUCAUGUAUGAUUAUCAAGUAUGGGCUUGAUUAAUCUUCCUCGAUAUAAUUUGACUAUAAAGAGUAAGUGAGUUUUCAAGGGAGAAAACAUACAUGAAUAAAAAUCUUUCCAAGAUUUAAGUUAACAUCUCAAAGUAAGAAUCUUCUUUCUUAUAAGUUAAUUACAUGGUGUGAUUUAAUUAUGAAUCUAGAUGAUUCUUGUGUUUUCUACAAAGCUAGUGGGAGCGCAGUAACAUUCCUAAUGUUAUAUGUAGUCGACAUAUUAAUUCAUGGAAUAAAGAUCUAUAUAGAUAGAUCAUGGCAACUUAAAGGAUUAAGUAAAAUUGCAUUAAUUGUCAAGGAUCUUAAAGGAGCUUAAAAUAAAGGACUCUGAGAGAGUCAUCUUGUCAAAUACUGUAUGACAUGAUUUUGAGCAAAAUCCUAGUGCAAAUGUUUUUUUAACUAGAUAAUAUGAUUGUAUUCCGUACGCUGAUGCAAUUGGAUUAAUCAUAUAUAUCAUAAUUUUGCACAAAGGCCAAAUAAGUCGUAUGCUUAGAGCAUGUCAAAUGAUACCAGUAUAAUCCGACAACAAGUCAUUGUGUGACUUAUAGGAACAUUCGAAAGUACUUGCGAGAACUAGAGAAAUAUUCCUAAUAUACAUAGUAUUUGAAAGAAAGCUAUGUGUAAGGUUGUUACACAUGUGCUAAAUUUUCAAAUAGAUUGAGAUGACUCUCAGUCACAAUUGGGUGUGUCCUCGUUAGGAAUGAAGAGAUAGUUAAAUGGAUAGUGGCUCCAUGUAGAUUUCAAUUACAUUUACACAUCAGAGUUAGAGUACAUCGUGGUUUGGAGAACCACGUACAAAGAUGCUUAAUGUAUAGUUCAUUAUGACUAUAAGUAAUCCCGUUACACAAGUAUUGGUAUCUAAGUCAUAUUCAAGCUUCUAAUUCAUUCUCAAUAGUUUUCCUUUAUAUAUGAGUUAUAUAUAUAUAUAUAUAUAUAUAAUANUCGCAAAGUUUACACAAAUCAAGUAUUUCGAAUCUACUUAACAAAGCUGCUUCAUUAGCUAAAGCAUGAAAGUCAAGCUGGUGCUAUAGAGCAUUGUUGAUACAAGUAGAUGUAUUUGAUUGAAAUUUAGUAUUUGGAUAUUGAAACAAUAAAGCAACAUAUAUUGUAAUGAAUGAUAUAUUGGAUAUGAGUCUUUCAUUAAAUAAUUGUUGUGUUCUAUAUUAGCAUGCUUAAAUCCUUGAAUAACUAGGUUAUUCUAAAUGUUCAUAGUCGUUCAUAGUUGUGGGAGCAUCUAUGAGGUAAGACUAAUAUGAGUGGAUUGGUGGGUUCUCAAAGAGAUGAGAAUGGAAAAGAGUUGCUACCAACUUCAUAGGUACUUGAUUGGGAGAAUAAGUAUUGGACUUGACCCGCAUCAAACCACUUUAUGAAUCGUAGUCAAGAGUGAUGUUUUGAUCAAGGUUAUAUCUUUUUAAUCUUAGACCUGAGAUACAUAUUUGGGACUUGAAGUGUAGGGAUUGUUGUGAUUAGACAUGGUUUAACGUUGUUUCGUAAAAAGCAGUCAUAAGGGCCAUCGUUGGAUAUGACAUGAACUACAUUGAUAAGCAUAUGUAGUCAAGAUGAUCUUUGUAUUCUUAGACCUGAGAUACAUAUUUGGGACUUGAGGUGUAGGAAUUGUUGUUAUUUGACAUGGUUUACCACUGUUUCAUAAAAGGUAGUCAUAAGGGCCAUUGUUAGGUAUAACAUGAACUACAUUGAUGGGCGUAUGUACUCAAGAUGGGAUUUGUCCCUCUUACUCAUUGAUAGCAUGACAUCUAAGGCCUUAAUUAAAGUUGAACAGUAAAUGAGAUUAAUUGUGAUCCAUAUCUCAUGUUCGACAUGAUGUCUAAUACAAAGGAAUAAUAGAUACCACACCUUUAGUAACAAUUGUAGCUUAGAGCUCCUGGAAUUAGAUGUUGAUGAGAUGGCACCCUUCAAAUGUUGUUAGGAGAGUAGGUCGUUGCUAGACGUUAGUUACUGUCUAUGUCAGUCUAUAAUUAAUCUUGUGCAGGUGGGAGAUUGUUGGAUCUAUAUGUCCAAAAAUCAUUAUGGAGUGAUAUUGUUAAUAAUAUAUGAUUCUAUAGGGUCACACCUUUAUCAAGCUGGCACAUUUUGUAUAUUUAUUAUUAAUAUGAUUAUUAAUAAAUAAUAUCAAUUCUUGUAUUUAAUUAGAGAAAAAUUAUUGUUCUAUGAAAACAAUAUUGUAAAAAGUAGAAAAAUAGUCUUUAUUUGAUAAGGUAUCAUAUAAUAAGUCAUGUAUAAAGUUUUGGACACUUUAGUUAACCAUGAUUAAAUCAAAGGUUUACUCUAUCAUGGUUAAAAGGACAAGUGAACAUUAUUUUAAUAUUUAGGCCAUAUGGCCGAAAAUAUGGAGGAGUAUGGAGGUUGCUUGUCAACCUCCAUCAACUUGUCACCAUGCCUCUUCUUUUGUAGCCCAUACCUUGAAUAUUAUAUUCAAAAUGUCAUGCUUGGAUGGGGUUAUAAAAAAAAAGGGUCUCUUACAUGAAGAUCAAGCUAUUUUUUGGUCUAAGAAAAUCACUUAUUCUUCUUCUUUUUCUCUAUUAAAACCGUGAGCAUGAAGGGAUUGGAGCUCCCAUUCAUUUGAAGAUUAUCCAUGUCUUUUGGUGGUUCAAAGUGCUUCUCCUUUAGUGCUUAUUUGAGUUAAACACUUAAAGGCUUAAGAAAUAUUUUAUACAAGAAGGAACUAGCAUUCCAAGUGCCUUACUCUUGAUGGUGGAUACUUGUAGAGAAGAUCAUACACUUUGAUCUUUUGUUAUCUUCAUCAACACCCCAAAACCUAGUGGGUUCAAAGGCUUCAAAGGUUAUCUCUAAAACAUCAUAUGGUUGUUUUUUUUUUAUUUCAUUCUAACCUCUAUAAAUGGAUCCAUGAUGGUGUGGUUUCGUUAUGAGCUAAAAAUAAGCUUGUUAUUUUUAAAGUCUUCCGUUGCCAUUUUUUAUGAAAAAAACAAACUUUAUUUCAUAUCAAAACCCAACACUAGAAUCCCUAAUUGUCUCCAUUGACAAAUGUGUGAUCUUGAAGACAUGCUUCUUAAGUCGAUAAAGAGGGGAGUCGGGAAACAACUUCAUGGAAAGCAAGAAACAACUCAAAAUCAAGGAAAUAUGAGGGAAUAAAUAUCGGAGUCAGUCUUAUAUUUACAAGAAUAAGCCGGGAAACAGCUUCAUGGAAUGCAAUAAAGUAAUAAUUGUUGGAAAUGAUGUCCAAAGUCAUUAACUUCUUAGGUAAUAUUUCUAAUAAUAGCAGGGUUCUUUUGGGUUGGCUUCAUGACCCAAAUAGUAUAAGGAAAUGGAGUUUUAAAAUGUGUUAAUUUAUUAAGGAAUUAACAAAUUAAUUAGAAAUUAUUUUGGUAAAUGAAUUAAAAUGAUUUAAUUAAUUAAAAGAGGUUAAAUAUUAAUUAAUCAUAUGAAUUAAUUGGAAUAUUACAUAACCGCCCGGAAGACAUGAUGUAGACAGUUUCUAGAUCCCUAGGAUAUGGAUAGAGUUGGUUUGAAUGUGAUAAGGAUAAACCCUAGAGUUUGUAUCCAUCUAGGAUUCUAACAACUACUUAUAAAUAAAUUGUUAGGGUAAACCCUAGAGCUAGUUAUUCUCUUCUUUAAAAUUGUUCGUCUUUUUUACUCUCCAAAUCCAAAAAUCACAACCUCUCUCUUAGGGUUGAUGAUUUUCGAAUAAAACCUAAUUUAUAGGUUCUUCCUUUUACUAUUUGGUGUGUGAUUCUGAUUCCAUUAGAAGGGUUCCAUUUGGACCAUUCAUCUUGCAAGAAAGUGGUAGGCACAAGAUCACAAACAAGAGAAUCUGAGGUUAGUAACCAUUUCUAUGAUGUUUUUUAAAGUAUGUUGCUAUAAUAGUAAAACAUAGAUUAUAGGUUGUAUGUGCACUUAGGUAUAUCAAGUUUUGAUUUUUCCACUACUUAUCAGUUGUGUACUUGAUGCUGAUAAUCCCCAACAAUAAUCGAGGGUCACAAAUCCACCAUUCAAGAGUAAAAGAAACCAAGGAAAAUCAUGCACCCUUCCUUUUUGAUUUACGAUUUACAUUUAUGUUGCCACCACAAAUAAUUCGUAGAAUGUAGUGGGAGCAAGAUAUGUUGGUGCAGGCGGAGAUGAAGCAUAGUUGUCAAAGGUCGGGUACAUAGAUAACAGAAACGAGAUAGAGAGAUAAGAAAUAAGGCAUUAAUCAUUGGUAGUGUGUACAUACUGUUUACGGUUCUCAAGUAAGAGAAGAGCAGCAUGUAGUAUCACCGGUUAGGGGUAUGCAUGGGUCGGUUUGGGUCGGUUUUGGACUCAAACCCAACCCAACCCAUAAAUGGUCGGUUUCUGGUUUUUAGAACCCAAUAGGAUCGGUUUCUGGUCGGUUCGGUUUCUUGGGUUCUGAGGUCGGUUUGGGCGGUUUUCGGUUUCUUGGGUUCAACCCAUACACUCACGGGUUCUGGGUUUAAACCCAUGGGUUUAAGGUUUUAACCCAUUUUCCAUGAAUGAAGCAACAAGUUAGAUACUUCAAAAAAUAACAAAUUGAAGUUAAGUACUUCAAAAAAUAUGAGUCUUACAACAAAUAGUCAAUUACAACUUACAACUAAAGCCCGAAAUAGUCUAUUACAACUAAAACACAAUCAAGUAUGGGUGGUUUUUCGGGUUGGAUGGGUCGGUUUCUUGGGGCGGUUUGUCGGUUUUAAGUAUGGGUCGGUUUCUUGGGUUGGAUGGGUCGGUUUCUGGUUAGAAACCGAACCCGAACCCGAUUUUUCGGUUUCUAAAAAUAUCAAACCCAAACCGUCGGUUUUGCUUCGGUUUCGGUUUUUUCGGUUUUAGUCGGUUUCUCGGUUUUUUGGUUUGGGUUUGCUCACCUCUAUCACCGGUGAUGAGUUGUGUUUACUGUUUAUGGUUCUCAUAUAGAGAAGAUAAGAGAUAGUGAUAGAUAGAAUACGUUUCAACAUGGAUGUAGGGGCUUCUAUUUAAUUUUAAGAGUUAUAAUAAUUGUAAGUGGAAGAAAAGAAUUAUAAAAAAUGGAAAAAAAGGUUAUAAGUGUCAUUUAUAUAUGUUAUGGAUUAAAUCCGAAACAAAAUCAAAUUAUAGACAUAAUCCUCCGAGUGACCAAAAAAAAAUUAUGGAUCAAAUAUGCGUCUCAAACCAUAAGGAACAAUUGUGUAAGUUACUCUCUUUUUUAUGGUUAUUUUUAUUCAGUUUUGGUAUAUGUUUUGAACUUUAUUCUUCAUGUUCAAGAUAAAGAUAUAUAUGGUCUUUCUUUUAUUUUUCUUUUAGAACAGUUGCAUUAAUAUAAAGAAAACUAGUAUGAAAAUUACAAAGAAUUACAAAGACAAAACUAGAAAUGGGUUAACAAUCCAAACAACCCAUCUAGGUAAAACCUUAUUGUUCCUAUUAACAACCCAAUCAAAAGAUAAAUCAAAAUUUUCUACAAAGAUUAUAUUACGCUUCCAUAUUUCAUCGUUAAAGAUAAUAUCAUUUCGAAAACUCCAAAUCCGCCAUAAGGUGAUAUAAACGAUCGAUUCUGGAAGUACACAAACCUUAACUACACCUUAAAAAUCUUAUAUCCAUUUGAAAAUAUCCUCCCCCGCUACCCAAGAAGGAGCUUGUAUAUCAAACCAUUUAAAAAUAUUCCUCCAAAUGAAAGAAGCAAACUCACACGAUAAUGUCUAAUAUUAAGUCGUAUUACAUAAUGACUGUGCUAACAAUUAUUUUCUUCAAUCAUGUCCAUUCCAAAACUAUCCAUUAUAUGCAUUGUAUUACUACCUACAUGAUAAUAUUUAAAUGUCGAGUACAAUGUGACACACAUGUUACUUCUUAUCUUUUUAAUACGUGACAAUCUAUCUAAAUUUUAUUUAGACAUAAUUUCCAUAACUUUAGAGCUUAUAGAUCUACGAAGGAUAGGAGUCACUAAUAGGGCAGGAGCUUUAUUAAUUUAUAUAUUCAUGAAUGAUGCACCAUCAUCUUGUUGAUUGGUGCAUCGUGUUGAUUUAGUCACCAAUAUGCAUUUCAAGACUUGUUCUCAAUGCCGCGUAACAUUAUAUAUAUAUAAAAUAAAAUCUGAAAUAACUAAAAACGUCGAUCCAUGAUUGUUUCUUCACUUGACUUUAGGUAGGGUUAUUUGUUCGAAAUACAAAAGUUAAAGUCACACACUAAAGAUACUUAACUUACAAUUUUGUAUUAAAAAACUAUUAACAUCACGAAGCAUUAAACUUUGAAGCAGAUCGGACAACCGUACCUACAACUCCGUCCUAACUAUAUAUUUCAUUACCCGAUCUCCAUGUAAGUAACCUCCAAGGCUUUGUUAAACGAAUAAAUUAAUGAAGUAAGCAUGACAUAUUAUAACUAAACAAAGGAGCUUACCAACUCCUGAGUGCUGACUCGUGUUGUCCAUGAUGGUUGGCCAAGUCAACAUCUCCACCUACAAUUGAAAGGACUCACCCCACCAACCCACCACCUUCGUUGCUAAUAAUUAUUCACCAACUCCCUUAUCUAUAUAUUACGACCACUUUUCUCCUUUCAUCUCAGGUUCACUUCUCCAGCCUAAUAUAAUACCUACCAACAUUUCACACACCAGACAUCCAUCGGAAUGGCAGCUACCGGAGAAGCCCAACCCGCAAAACAUCAAGAAGUUGGCCACAAGAGCCUCCUUCAAAGUGAUGCUCUCUACCAAUACAUUCUUGAAACCAGCGUUUACCCGAGAGAGCCAGAACCCAUGAAAGAGUUGCGUGAGGUCACUGCUAAACACCCAUGGUAAGCGCCUUAACUUCUGCAAAUUUACUAUAUACUGAAUAUUCAUGGAUGCAUUUCAUUUUUUUGAAUCUCAAACUGUUUGUCAUUUGACGUAUAGGAAUCUUAUGACGACAUCUGCGGAUGAAGGACAAUUUUUGAAUAUGCUCCUCAAACUCAUAAAUGCCAAGAACACGAUGGAGAUUGGUGUUUAUACUGGUUAUUCCCUUCUUUCUACGGCUCUUGCUCUCCCAGAAGAUGGAAAGAUAUUGGCUUUGGACAUAAACCGUGAAAAUUAUGAAAUUGGCCUUCCGAUCAUUGAGAAAGCCGGUGUUGCCCACAAGAUUGAUUUUAGAGAAGGCCCUGCUCUUCCUCUUCUUGAUGAAAUGGUCAAUGAUGUAAGUACUUACAAGUACAUAUAAAAGAUAAUGUUUUUUUUAAUUUAUAUUUUCUCAAAAUUAUGAAAACUCAUUUUGCUUUGCACAUUUUGAACUACAGGUGAAACUUCAUGGAUCGUUUGAUUUUAUUUUUGUGGAUGCUGAUAAAGACAACUAUCUUAACUACCACAAAAGGUUAAUUGACCUUAUCAAAAUUGGAGGUGUCAUUGGCUACGACAACACCCUUUGGAACGGUUCUUUAGUGGCCCCACCAGAUGCGCCACUCAGGAAGUAUGUUAGAUAUUACAGAGAUUUCGUUUUAGAGCUUAACAAGGCAUUGGCUGUUGAUCCGAG
rnacentral:lncRNA from 1 species